AUGGCGGAGGCUUCGGCGGCUGGGGCCAACGUCGGCGCCGCUGUGGCCACGCACCGCUUUUUCUGCCACUUUUGCAAGGGCCAGGUCAGCCCCAAACUACCGGAAUAUAUAUGUCCCAGAUGUGAAUCAGGCUUUAUUGAAGAAGUGACAGAUGAUUCCAGUUUUUUUAGGUGGUGGUGGCAGCCGGAUAGACAAUAGCACAUCAACACAUUUUGCUGAGCUCUAGGGCCAUUUGGAUCACACAAUGUUUUUCCAAGAUUUUAGACCAUUUCUAAGUAAUAACCCACUGGAUCAUGAUAAUAGAGCCAAUGAGAGGGGUCACCAAACUCACACUGACUUCUGGGCACCAAGUCGGCCUCCACGGCUGGCAAUGACUCUGAGAUACAGGUCUCGGGGAAGUUCUCCUGACAGAUCUCCAGCUAUUGAAGAAAUAAUACAACAGAUCUUUGCAGGAUUCUUUGCAAAUUCUACAAUUCCUGGAUCCCCUCACCCUUUUUCUUGGAGUGGGAUGCUGCACUCUAACCCUGAGGACUAUGCCUGGGGUCAGACAGGGCUUGAUGCCAUUGUAACCCAGCUUUUAGGACAACUGGAAAACAGAGGGCCUCGACCAGGGAACAAGGAAAAGAUCACAUCUCUUCCAACAGUGACAGUAACUCAGGAGCAAGUUGAGAUGGGCCUAGAAUGUCCAGUAUGCAAAGAAGAUUACACAGUUGAGGAAGCAGUCCGGCAGCUUCCCUGCAGUCACCUCUUCCACAUCAGCUGUAUCAUGCCAUGGCUAGAACUGCAUGACACCUGCCCUGUAUGUAGGAAGAGCUUAAAUGGUGAGGACUCUACUCGGCAAACCCAGAACUCUGAGGCCUCUGCAAGCAACAGAUUUAGCAAGGACAGCCAGCUACAUGACAGACGGACUUUCUGAAACUAAAGACCAUACCUGAACCAGGGCUGUCUGUGGUAGUCUUAUUACCAUAGCUGUAAAUUGUAUCAAAACAAACAUAGUAGAUGGAUAUAGGAAUCACAUAAGAAGCCCCAACCCAUACUAUGAAUGCCAUGAGUGUUUUCUUCUCUAAAUUGAAAGUUAGUUCCUCCAGAUGGAAUUGUAUCUUCAACCAAAUGCCUCUUGUUCCUGAAUUCAAAGUGAUAUUUUAUAAGUGUGAAACAAUUAUGUUGGUUUGUUCCUGCCUGAAUAGAAUCAGUUCCUUAAAGCCUAGCUAGGCUCCUGCUGUGUGUCCUGUUGUC